rnacentral:rRNA from 1 species
AUGGUUGGACAAGCUAUUAUUACACAACGUGACCUGGAGUAUAUGCUAGUGGAUCCGACCCUAGAGCCCACGGCCCUGCCUUUGUCACUUUUGUUAGAAAUCACACAUGGUUUCUCCAAUGACAUGGAAAUUGGCAGAGGCGGCUUUGCGACUGUUUAUAAGGCAACACUUGAGAAUGGAUCCGUAGCUGUAAAGAAGUUGCUCAAUACGCACAUCCACGAGAAAGAAUUUCAAGAAGAGGUUAAAUGUCUCGUGAAGGUGAAGCACAAGAAUAUCGUACGAUUUCUGGGAUAUUGUUCCGACACACAAGGAAAUAUGGCAAAUAACAACGGAACAUUAGUCAUGGCAGAUGUGCAACAAAGAUUGCUCGUCUUUGAGUAUCUACCAAAGGGAAGUCUUGAUGUUUAUAUCAAGAAUUCACCCAGAGAACUUGAAUGGAUAGAGCGCUACCGAGUAAUAAAAGGGAUCUGUAAGGGGUUAAAUUAUCUUCACAAUCAAAAUAUUCUGCACUUGGAUUUAAAACCGGGAAACAUAUUGUUGGAUGAACAUAUGACUCCGAAAAUUACCGAUUUUGGACAGUCAAGGUGUAUUGAGGAAAAUCAAACAAGAUUCAUGACUAAUAAUGUGCGAGGAACAUUGGGAUAUUGGGCACCGGAAUGGCAUGAGAAUGAAGGAGAGGUAUUACAAGUCACACGCAAGUUUGACUUGUACAGUCUUGGUGUUAUAAUUAUGGAGCUUUUGACCGGAAUGAAGGGGUCUCGAAGUAUUGAAGAUGUACGUGAAAUUUGGAGUCAUAAGUCAGACAUAUCAUGGUGGGGUCAAAUACAAGUAUGUGCUGAGAUUGGGAUUGAGUGCACUAACUUAAUACCAGCCAAGAGACCAGAAAGUAUGACGCAUAUAAUUGAUAGGAUUUUAUCAGAAAAAAGUAGUACACAUGUAAUUCCAGAGGGUGGGCCCAACAAUCUUCUUAUCCUUCACCCGCCAGCACUUCGCUUCCCCUUCGAGGCAAACAAGGUUAUCAUGUGUCCGCUUCAGCUAACAAAUAACACCGACAAACACAUCACAUUUACGCUUAGGGAGAAAAGUGGGGGGCCCUCCUUCCUAAGGCUGCCAUUGUAUGGUGUUGUGCCGCCUAACACCCCUUGCACCCUCAUCGUACCCACACAAGCAAAAGAAGAGUUUCCACGAAAGUGGAUCACAGAUCUGAUCCUCCAUAGUGCUACAUUUACACAAGGGGAUUUUGAUUCUUUCGAAAGAUACCGUUUAGGCCAUUGUUUUAGUGUGAAGAGGAAUGCAGUGCAGACAAUUGUGGAGUUCAAAGCACUUUAUACUCUGCCUCGACACAUCACGACACUGUUGUCUAUGCCAACCACACCCACAAUAAAGAUUAUAUGCCAGGUACGGGUUGUCCUCCGGUAUUCCUUGGAUACAAACCCGGACAAGCAAUGGAUAAUAGUUGGGGAAGAUUCAGGACAUGUUACUAUUUGGGACUACCAGACACAGAGAAAAGUGGAUUCAUUUGAACUCUCAUCGAAACAAGAUCUUAGAAGCGUUAUAUUUAUUCAACGGAAACAAUGGACUGUUACGGGCACAGGAAAUGGUCACGUCCAUGUGUACAACUAUGAAAAAAUGGAAAAGAUCACAAGUUUCAGAGUUACAAGAUCUGAAGGGUUUCUCACGACAAUGGCUGUUCACCCAACCCGGCCGUAUUUGCUGACAGCGGGUACACACAUGAAACUUUGGGACUGGGACAAGGGUUGGGAGUGUGUGCAGGCAUUUAAUGUUGCGAAUUUUAUAUACGGGGACAGAGUGUGUCAUGUGGCAUUUAACACAAAUCACAACUUCGCUACUGCUUCAGCUAGUUCAGACAACACUGUGGAGAUGGUUGUGAAGGUUUGGAGUCUUGAUUGUCCAAGCUCUAACUAUGCGCUAUCUGGGCAUUUGCACAAAGUGAACUGCUUGGAUUUCUUCACAUGCCACAGUAACGAGUUUUUGAUUACGGGAUCACAUGAUCAUACUGCCAAGAUAUGGUAUUUGCAGAAGAAGAUAUGUGCAUAUACACUUACAGCAUUCGUAGCUCCAGUUACAGCUGUCCUGUACCAACCCAGUCUUGAGACUCUAAUUACAGGUACAGAAGAUGGUGUUCUUUAUUUUUGGAGCACGACAAACUGCAGGAUAUAUUCAUGCCCCCCCACGCUCAAAAUAAUUAUCAACAUUGACUGUUUCGGAGGUGUCCACCAUCUCGCAUGUGUGAUGGGAAGGGUCGUGAUUGGAAAUUAUAACACAGUAGCAAUUAUGGAAAUUGCUAAUAAGAAUUGGCAGGAGCAAUCAACAAAUUACAAUGAGAAGCAGAUAAGUGCGAAUAUGGGACAACAUGCUGGAGACACAAAGUCUAAGAUCACAGGGUCCAUGAGCAAGCUACUUGAUGUCAGCCCGCAGGAACUCUGCUUCCCCUACCAUCCUAAUGAGCCCUAUCCAUGCUUAUUGCACCUAACAAACAAUACUGAUGAAGAAGUGGCAUUUAGACUUGUAGACAGGAGCGGCAAGUCCCCGUGGUGCUUUACCAAACUGCCAUUGUAUGGCAUUGUUCCGCAGAGAUCCACUCAAACUUUAAUGGUGACAACGAAAGAGGAGAUGAAGUUAGAGAGAGCAAGAGACUUUGAUCUAGCCAUCCAGAGUUAUUUCUUGCGAGACAAUUACACGGUAUUCAAAGACAGAUUGGAGUCUGAUAAAUUUUUCAUGGAGGCUGAACAAUUCAAGAAUAUGGUGCAUGAGGUGACCUUGGAAGCCGUCUAUCCGAUGUACGAAGAGAUCCGAUCUGAGCAUAUAUCAGUGAAGUAUAAUCCUGACAGUAUAUGUUCCCUGGAUACACAUCCAACAGAACUAUGGAUUUUAACUGGCCAUUAUAGUGGAUCUGCUCACGUAUGGAACCAUGAGAUGAAGCACCCACUGAACUCAUUUAAAGUCUCAGAUGAUGAAGUUUGCUCCAUGAAAUUUAUUGCAAGGGAAUGCAUUGUAGCUGUGACACGUGAUAAUCACCUCCAUGUGUACGAUUGUGCAUGUGUAUCGAAAAUCGAAAAGAUCAGGAGUGUCAUACCUCCGCAUUAUGUGUCCUCCAGUCCAAUACUAGCCGUUCAUCCAAUCCUACCGUAUGUGUUGUUAUCACAGGCAGUGGUUUUAGACUGGGAGCAGGGCUGGAAGCCCAAACAAAGAUUUUGGGCUGGUUGGUCUGAUGUACCAGAGGCGGCCGCAUUUAACCCUGGGGAUGCCGAAUGUUUUGCGACUGGGUGUAAGAAUGGCAAAGUACAGGUUUGGCUGCUUGGUUCUCUCUACCCUGAAUAUUCUUUCGGUGGGCAUUCCGGUACUGUGAACUGCGUUGAUUUUAUCCCACAUGGAGGUCAACACUAUUUGGUCAGUUGCUCUGAGGAUGGCACUAUCAUGAUCUGGGACUUGCAGAAAAGGGAAGGCAUUUGUACAAUCGAAGUUAGGGCUCCAGUUCUUUCUGUCCUUGCCCAUCCAAACCUCCCGUUAUUAAUUACAGGGACAUCACAUGGCAUCAUUUACGUGUGGAGCUCUACUGAUUUCAGGCUAAAGAGAACAAUUAACUUAGGUGGUGGUGGACCUAUUGUCUCUCUUGGAUAUUUGAUGGCUUUACGAAGGAUUGUGAUUAGGCAAAAGAACACAAUAACUAACAUGGAAAUCACCGAUGAGGAAGCGUUGGUACCUGAAAGUACGUCGACGAAGGGAGCUGAAGCGGAGCGCAAUCAAGACAGAGCAGAGGACAGCAAAACAGAGGAACUGGUUGAAAUGCAAGAGCAGCAAGGAGCUGAAGCGGAGCGCAUUCAAGACAAAGCAGAGGACAGCGAAACAGAGGAACUGGAUGAAAUGGAGGAGCAGCAAGAGUUGCAACCCACGAUUGUAAAGCCCCGAGCACAACGCCGCCAGGAGAAGAAACAAGCCCGCGUGCUGGCGAAGCGAGCUGAAGUGGAGCGCAGAAAAGCUGAAGCAGAGCAACGCCGCCGGUAG